rnacentral:lncRNA from 1 species
GUUUCAUUUAACACUAGUCAGUGCUUGCGGGUCCUCUAUCCGCUCAUCAGAGGAUGUGAAAAAAAAUGGACCACUCUAAAGAGUGACUCAAGGAGGAAAGCCACUAGCCUAAAGAAGGCUAUAUUCCAGACAGGCGGAGGGCCAUCACCAUCUCCACUGAGUGACUUUGAGUAUAAGGUAUAUUGCAUAAAUCUAUAUUUGUAUGAGGAAACUUAAGUAAUGAAAUUAUAAAAUUAUGAA